rnacentral:lncRNA from 1 species
UAAAAAACUGCAUUUUUAUAUAAAUGACGGUCAGAACAAAUCAUUUGAUAUAUAUACAUAAUAAAAUACAGGUAACAAUUUAAUCAGCCAAAAUAUGUAGAUGAAAUGAGGAGAAAACACAGGGUACAGGCUGUAAAUGAAAAGAUUUGACCUCGAAACGUCCCGUCAAAAUAUUUUUUAUCUACAGCACUGUACCCUUGUUUUCUCCUCAUUUCAUUUAUAUACAUAUAUGUAUGUAUAUAUGUAUUAUGUAUUAUGUAUGCAACGCCUUUUUAAGAUUUUUCGAUUUGUGAGUCUUUCUUACGUUGAAAGAUAUUUAGACCAGUUUUUUUUGCAUUUAGUAGAGACUCGUUAGAACUACUAUUCUGCGAAAAAAAAAUUGAAAUUUGAGGCAAUAGAUUGUGAGGGGUGGGGCUCGAAAGUGGGGGGGAGGUCAAAUCUUGCCACUCGAUAACUCGAGCGAAAACAAAUAUUUAAGCUGAAAUUUCUAUGGGUGGUAGUUCUACCCUAGGACUGGUUUGGUAUUGAAUUUGAGCUAAUCGGCCGAGCCGUUUAAAAAUGGCGAGCUUUGAAGUUUUAGGCGGGGGGUGCGCGGCAUGAGGGGAGCCGGCCGGAGCAGGGCCGCACAGUGGGUCAGGGGGAGGAAGGUUUUGGACAAAAUUUGCGUCCACAGUGGGUCAGGGGAAGAAGUUUUUUUUGUGUUUUUAUUUGCCAGUAUGUUUGUAAGAAAAACUCCUCCAAGCAGUGAUACUGUGACUUAUAGUUAAAGUUUUGGGCUUGGAACUUGGGAGUCCCUUUUUCUGUGGAUGAUCACUCAAAUUACUAUCUUUUUACAACACUAUGUCUAUUAAUGUCUUCGCAAAUUUUUUACAACAUUUAGUAACACUGUAAGACUUUUUUUUAUCUCCCCAUCAUUAAGUGAGUCAGUUAAGUGUUACAACCUCGUGAUUUCAAAGGAGAUCUUUCUUAAAUCGGUCUGUUGUAUUAGUGGAAAUGCUAAAUGCGGGGGGAUUCUUCUUUGUGUUGUUUUUUGUUGAUUUUUUCUUUCCUUUUCAGCCGGGCGUGGAAUUUGGCAUUACUUAUUUUGAUAACCCUGGAAUCAGAAUCCCCUAUGCUGUUUCAUCAUGGGUCACAUAUUCAGGGCUAGCAGAUUACAUCAAACAGCAGUAUGAAGCAGCGGUGCUAUUAUCCAACCGGCGGAGGGAAACAUCAAGCCAAGAUGGAGAUAAUCCUAGUUUUAACAAAUUUAAACACUCUCCGAAGGAAUCUAGGAUUGAUAUGUCACAGGUUUUUCCUGCUGAUAUUCCCUCAAAAAAUCUGUGCAUUUAA